ACAUACGUAGUUUCACUAAUUCAAACAAGACCCAGAUCGCGGGCAAGUCCCAGAUAGCAUUGUUAGUACACUGUAUUUAUAAAAUAAUUUUGGAAAAGGAAAUUAACAUAUAAAAUAGAAAUGUAGAAGAAACAGAAUUUUAUCCGAGCCCACUGAAUUCAUAGUGUUUCCUUAAAGAACUUAAUCCCUUCCUAAUACCCGAGGUUGUGGAUUAUUUCCUCCUAGAAUAGAACGGAUUACACACUGGUGUAACGGUACUUCAAACCCCAUUAUUUCAACGAACACAAGUUUUAAAGCUUAAAUCGUCCAUACUGACAUUCUAAGUUUACCGACUAUGUAGGUUGUUUGAAUCCGGUGGAAGUAAUAAUUUUCUCCGGUAGAAAAGCUGGCAAUCGACUGAUUUUGGGGGUGAAAGAGAGCUGGAUUUAAAUAAAAAAAAUGUUUCAUGUGUAGUUGAGUAAUGGCUCUGCUAGUUUUCUAGCGAAUGUCAUGUUAUUUGUUAGUUGGACUAAAGGCGGUUAACUUUUGCUAACUUAGAGGAUAAUUCACGCUCAAUAUUAUAUUUGAAGGACAAAGUUAAAUUUACCCUGAAAAGAUAAGGGAUAAUUUUGGUAAAAAAAAACUCCUAAGUAUGAGCAAUAGCAAACGCAUUUAGAAGUGAAACAAUUACUAUGAACAUAUUAUUUGAUUAAUAUCUUCAUAAGUAUUUACGAGAGAGAGAGAGUCCAUUGUUAUUUUAUUUUCUCUUAUUAAUUAUUAAUGUUCAUUCAAUUCUGAGGCUAGCUAACUUGGUUUAAAAAAACCAUUCUUACAAAGGAGUAAUUACGUACUAGUACAAGUAAAGAAAAGGAAAAAAAAUAUGUAGUGAUAGAAUUAUCAACUUAAACAAUUUUUUGCAAUACUACAUUAUUUAUGCUAACAAACACCACAUAUUCCUUUCUCGCAAAAUCUACAUAGGCAUAAUCACCCAGCUAGUAUAGGCGAAAAACCUAAAAUAACCUAACUGCAAAAAAAAAAAUUAAAAGUUAUGGAAUUAAAAAAAAUUACAUGUGUAAUUAAACUAAGCUAUCUAUACCAUAAUUUGUACAAAAUUGAAAUUGGUGAAUACAAAUAUUGAAUCACCAAUAUAAUACAGAGGAAAACUCUACAACCAAAAGACAAACUAAUGAAUGAAAAUUAAAUUACUAUACCUUUAACGGAUAGCAAGAGGAACUCUAAAUGCAGAAUUCAAGCCUUUCUUUUCUUGUUGUGUAGAGGAUUUGGUCCAGUGGGAACUCUCCUCUUAUCGGACUCAAAGCCUCUAGCAAACGGCGCACUCGCCUGAGGUUGAAAAACUUGAUGUUUUCUCGCCAUCGACGGACCGGAAAAUCGUGCCGCCGGUGGACGGCCGAUGGCGUG
rnacentral:lncRNA from 1 species